rnacentral:lncRNA from 1 species
AGGCCAACUAGUAUCUAGCUCUCUAACUGCCUUGGGCCAUCAAAACUCCCAAAUCAAAUAUUGUUGACCUGGCUUGUGUCAAGUGCCCAUCACUGAAUUAGUCACUAUGGCCAGGAGCAGAUGGGCCCUCACUAGACAGAACUGGUCUGUGGCCGCCCAUGGUGCCCGGGGUGAGGGCAGCUCCACCUGAACACAGAGAGUGGCAAAGGCAAAGUUUCCUGACAUAGACGUUCCUGUUCCAUUUGUCCCGCAAACGUUUAAACAUCACACAUACUUGGUUAAGGCACACUACUUCUACGUGGUGGGGAAAAUGGCACUUGGAAAAUUCAGUUUCAAUGGUCCUUUCAGAGCUACAGCAUCUGUCUCUCAAUGUCUAUGUUAAUUCCUCUAAAAGGACUCAGACCUGAUGUGGCUCCCAGCCUUCUUGGACCCCUCCUAUCUGUGGUACUGAUGGGUACAGAACUCACACACCCUACCCUGGGUGUGAGUAAGAGCAUGGGCCUUGUAAUCUUGGCUUGUUUGGAAAGAGGAAGGGGAAAUUCCAGAAGUGAAGGUCAUAACAGUUUUCUGUCAGAUGGGGUGGUGGCUCAAAGCAGAGGUUAUGAGCCUGAGUAUGUAGCUCCAUCACCCAGUGUGAACUUGGGCAAGUCCUUACCUUUUCCCCUCUGCAUCCUCUCCAUCCACUUCCCUCACUGACAUUCCAAAACACACACACACACAUACACACACACACACACACACACACAUUUUUAUUUUAAGACAAUUGUUGAUUCACAUGCAGUUUUAAGAAAUGCUAGAGAUCACAGACCAGGCACAGUGGCUCAUGCCUGUAAUCCAGGCACUUUGGGAGGUCGAGGCAGGUGGAUCACUUGAGGUCAGGAGUUCGAGACUAGCCUGGCCAAUGUGGCGAAACCCCAUCUCUACUAAAAAUA